rnacentral:tRNA from 1 species
GCCCAGAUGGCGGAACUGGCAGACGCAAUCGACUUAAGAUCGAUCGCCGUAAGGCGUGUGGGUUCGACUCCCACUCUGGGCA